rnacentral:lncRNA from 1 species
CUCUUCUUCUCCAACGUAAAUCCCCUUCUCUCUUCUUCCUUUUCUUCUUCCUUCUCUUCCCUCCCACCUUCUCUGUUUAUCUUCUUUCUUUUCUUCUUCCUUCUAUUAUCUUCAUCAUUCUCUUCUCUAUUCUCUUCUUCCUUCUAUUCUCUCCCACCUUCUCUCUUUUUGUUAUUCCUUUUCUUCUUCCUUCUCUUCUCUUUUCUCUUUUCUCUUCUCUCUAUUUCUUUUCACCAAAUCAUACCCUCCAUCCCUCCAAUCAAGAAACAGCAACACAAGAACACAAUCAAGAAAUUGAAAGAGAGAAUUUUCGAAUUUUGAAAGAGAGGAUUUUUGAAUCUGGGUUUUUGAUUCUUCAUACAUGGAAUUGAUUUUUAACCACUUGGGUUUGAUUUUUUAUUGGAAGAGGAAGCAAUCUGGGUUGAUUUUUGAUUUGAUGAUUUGUUUUUAAAGAAGUUGUUGUUGUUUUACGUUGAAGUUGUUGUUUCCGAUUUAAAUUCCAUUUGAUUUUGUUUUUCUCUUUUGGAAUUGGGUUAAAGAAGAAUUUUGUGUUGUUGUUAUUGUGUUGUUGAUGCGUUGUUGUUGUGUUGUUGAUGAUUGAUCCAAAAAUUGAAAAUUGAUGAGAAGGGGAUGGAUUGGAACAACCAGGAAAGAAGAGAAGAAGAGAUUGUUGUGUUGAUGUUGUGUUGUGUGAUGUUGUGUUGCUGGAAAAAAGAUGGUAGAAGGAGAUUGAAAAGAGAGAGUGAAGAAGAAGAUGAAGAUGAAAAGAAAUAAAUAAAAAAAUCAAUUAAGUUUUUAAUAAAAAAAUUCAAAUGGAAUAAAAAAAUUGCAAAAGAAACAAAAAAGCCAAGUCAAUUGUACGAUUUUGCAUCUCCUCUUUUUUUUUUUUGAGUGAUUUUGCACCCCAUCUUUUUGCCCCUUUUCUGAUUUUGCACCUCAUCUUUGUGUUCAAUUGCACUUUUGUCCCUUAUCUUUUUGCUAAUUGUACGAUUUUGCACCCUCACUUAUAUUUUUUGAGCGAUUUUGCACCCUAUCU